rnacentral:rRNA from 1 species
CAGCAGCCACGGGAAUACGGAGGGGGCUAGCGUUGUUCGGAAUUACUGGGCGUAAAGCGCACGUAGGCGGCUUGGUAAGUUAGAGGUGAAAGCCCGGAGCUCAACUCCGGAAUUGCCUUUAAGACUGCCGAGCUAGUAGGUGAGAGAGGUAAGUGGAAUUCCGAGUGUAGAGGUGAAAUUCGUAGAUAUUCGGAAGAACACCAGUGGCGAAGGCGGCUUACUGGCUCAUUCUAGACGCUGAGGUGCGAAAGCGUGGGGAGCAAACAGGAUUAGAGACCCCGGUAGUCCCUGUCUCUUAUAC